rnacentral:rRNA from 1 species
AGUGAACGCUGGCGGUAGGCCUAACACAUGCAAGUCGAACGGAAGCACAGUAAGAGCGCGCCCUUACGGGUGGCGAGUGGCGGACGGGUGAGGAAUACAUCGGCAUCUACUUUUUCGGGGGGGAUAACGGAGGGAAACUGACGCUAAUACCGCAUACGAUCUACGGCAGAAAGCAGGGGAUAUUCGCACCUUGCGCGACUGAAAGAGACGACGUCGGAUUAGCUAGUUGGCGGGGUAACGGCCCACCAAGGCGACGAUCCGUAGCUGGUCUGAGAGGAUGAUCAGCCACACUGGAACUGAGACACGGUCCAGACUCCUACGGGAGGCAGCAGUGGGGAAUAUUGGACAAUGGGCGCAAGCCUGACGCAGCCAUACCGCGUGAGUGAAGAAGGCCUUCGGGUUGUAAAGCCCUUUUGUUGGGAAAGAAAAGCAGCAGGUUAAUCCCCCGCUGUUCUGACGGUACCCAAAGAAUAAGCACCGGCUAACUUCGUG